GGGCUUUUAUAGAUUAAGAAGGAUCAAAGAUCUAAAAAAUUCGUGUUUUAGUAAACCAAAAAAAUUGAAAAAUAAUGAUAAUAGACGAAAAUAAAAAGAUAAUUUACAGAUCUAGUCCUGAAAUUUAAGAUUUGGGGUUUUAAAUCGUUGAGGGUCAUGUAAGUAAUUUGUCGUUCGAUAGAUCUAAACAGAAAAAAAUUUAACUAUGAUAAAAAAUUAAGAUAAAUCUGGUUUGAAAACCCUAGAUAUCAGAUCUAUUCUAUAUGAUGAUAGAUCUAUUUUACAGACCGCUAGACUCAAGGUUUAACAAGUUGAAGAAAAUGACUCGUCAGAUUAGAAACUUAGGGUGGUCCCCCCUUUUGUAAAAAUACAUCGGAACAAAUUUCUCAAAUAAACAAAACAAAAAAACGAACAACUAAUCGGUAGAAAUAUGAAUUAGAGGGUGUAGAAGCGAUUGGUCGGUAUAUGUUUUUCAAAAUCUAAAUGAAGAUCAAGGAUUAUUUUACAGAAAAUGGCCUAGGGUUUGAGAGAAUUUGGGGAGAGAGGAAGAGAAACCGACAGAGGAGUGAGAG
rnacentral:lncRNA from 1 species